AAUAUUGGACAAUGGGCGAAAGCCUGAUGCAGCAACGCCGCGUGAGUGAAGAAGGUUUUCGGAUCGUAAAACUCUGUCAUUGGGGAAGAAUAAAUGACGGUACCCAAUGAGGAAGCCCCGGCUAACUACGUGCCAGCAGCCGCGGUAAUACGUAGGGGGCGAGCGUUGUCCGGAAUUACUGGGCGUAAAGGGUGCGCAGGCGGCCGAUUAAGUCAGAUGUGAAAUACCACGGCUCAACUGUGGGGGUGCAUUUGAAACUGGUUGGCUUGAGUGCAGGAGAGGAAAGUGGAAUUCCUAGUGUAGCGGUGAAAUGCGUAGAGAUUAGGAGGAACACCAGUGGCGAAGGCGACUUUCUGGACUGUAACUGACGCUGAGGCACGAAAGCGUGGGUAGCGAACA
rnacentral:rRNA from 1 species